rnacentral:rRNA from 1 species
GUGGGGAAUAUUGGACAAUGGGCGAAAGCCUGAUCCAGCCAUGCCGCGUGUGUGAAGAAGGUCUUCGGAUUGUAAAGCACUUUAAGUUGGGAGGAAGGGCAGUAAGUUAAUACCUUGCUGUUUUGACGUUACCAACAGAAUAAGCACCGGCUAACUUCGUGCCAGCAGCCGCGGUAAUACGAAGGGUGCAAGCGUUAAUCGGAAUUACUGGGCGUAAAGCGCGCGUAGGUGGUUCAGCAAGUUGAAGGUGAAAUCCCCGGGCUCAACCUGGGAACUGACUCCAAAACUACUGAGCUAGAGUACGGUAGAGGGUAGUGGAAUUUCCUGUGUAGCGGUGAAAUGCGUAGAUAUAGGAAGGAACACCAGUGGCGAAGGCGACUACCUGGACUGAUACUGACACUGAGGUGCGAAAGCGUGGGGAGCAAACAGGAUUAGAAACCCCAGUAGUCC